UUGGUACUAUUGCAGACACACGCAGACAGCAUUUUUACAUGUAAGUCUAUUUUUGUAACUUUUCUGAGCACUGAACUUUGUAAGGUAUAUUUUUAGGAAAACUCAUUUUUCUACAAAAGCAAACAGUUUAGAAAGACUGCAAGAGAAUGAAAAUUUGAACCUGAAAUUUUUGUUGAAAGGGAUUUAAGUGAAGCAGACAUCUCUCUCAGAAAGGCACACCGCUUUCGCAGAGCCAGGCCAGAUCACAGUCCUGAUGAAGGGAGCUGUUUUUACAUGUCUUCAAGAAGGAACAAGCACACCUGGCUUCGUCUUGAUCUGCGGCAGGUCCUGUUGACUCUGGGGCAGUUCAGUGGGAAAGAAUUAUUGUCUGUUACCGCUAAUAGACAAAUUCAGCUUAUUCGAGAAAAACAGUAACAGCUCUUUGUUGGUUUAUGUGUGCCAGUCUGACCUUGAUGCACGUUGUUUCAUGUGUGUAUGGGCAGUGGAUAUGCACUUAGGAUACGGCCUAGAAAUACCCGCAGAGCCUCCCUGUAAUGUUUACCACAUUUGACCAAUGCCACCGAUGGGCUUCCAGCCCUUGAGAUGGGGUUCUCAGCUGCGCCGUACGGUAGAGUUGGGGUGGGGUAGCUUUUGAAGAUCUUGAGGCCCAGCCAUGUCUCACUCAGGCCGAUGAAACCUAGGAUUUAUACUUUGUUAAUCUCCUAAAGUCAUUCUGAUGUAGAGUCCCGGCCAAGAGCCACGGGACUGGGAAUUAGCCACAGAUGUGUGGAUGUGCAGCCUUUACUGGCCGGGGAGAAAGCCGACUUAGCAGCGGAUCACAAAGGGAGAUGGUGAAUAGCGGGACGAUUGCGAGAGUGCUUGGAUGGCAUGUAUACAAGCAAGAGUCCGGCAAGAGGAUUCCUGCUUUAGGAAACACGUUUUCUAUGUAUUUUUAUAAACUGCGUCAGGGAUGAAAACUGAAGCAGUCCUGUCCAUUGCUCUUCCACGUGUCAGUGCACAGUACCCCUCGCAGGUUACAGCUCUCCUGUCUGAACUGGCAGCAUAAGUGCCAAGAGUCCCUACCUGGCAGAUGAAAUGCAUUGUUGGUCCAUUUGCUUAUUUUUUUUAAAACAAACCCCUUUGAGGUAACUUGGCUACAAAGCAAUCUUGCUGUAUAACGGAAACUCUUGGAAGUGAAGACGUCCUGGAGAACUGCUGACGUUAGAGGUCUGCUGGCAGCAAGAACUUCAUUUUAAAACAGGCAGGCAGUGGCUUUAGAGCUUCUCUAUAUGCUACAUUUUAACCUUAGAAGGUUUUGCUCUGGUGAAAGCAAUGUUUGUACAAAUGGAAAGCAAGAUUUUUAUAUGGUUUACACUCUUGAGCAAAAUAUGUUGAUGUAUAUGGAAUAUUAAAAAUUAGAUGUAUAUUAUUCAUUGUUCUUUACUCAUAAGUACCUUAUGAAAAUAAUACUGUAUUCUUGUUCACAACGCCCUGUUGCUAUCAGUUAUUGAUCAUAUCCAACCUACUGUGUGUGUUCUUUCCUAAUAACAUUUUUAAGCUAAUUAAUAAACUUUAUUUUUAGAGCAGUUUUAGUUUCGAAAACUGCAAAAUUGAGAAAUUACAG
rnacentral:lncRNA from 1 species